rnacentral:rRNA from 2 species
AUUGAACGCUGGCGGCAUGCCUUACACAUGCAAGUCGAACGGCAGCGGGGACUUCGGUCCGCCGGCGAGUGGCGAACGGGUGAGUAAAGCAUCGGAACGUGCCCUGAAGUGGGGGAUAACGUAGCGAAAGUUACGCUAAUACCGCAUAUUCUGUGAGCAGGAAAGCAGGGGAUCUUCGGACCUUGUGCUUUAGGAGCGGCCGAUGUCGGAUUAGCUAGUUGGUGAGGUAAAGGCUCACCAAGGCGACGAUCCGUAGCGGGUCUGAGAGGAUGAUCCGCCACACUGGGACUGAGACACGGCCCAGACUCCUACGGGAGGCAGCAGUGGGGAAUUUUGGACAAUGGGCGCAAGCCUGAUCCAGCCAUGCCGCGUGAGUGAAGAAGGCCUUCGGGUUGUAAAGCUCUUUCGGCGGGGAAGAAAUUGCUUCGGCUAAUAACCGGAGUAGAUGACGGUACCCGCAUAAGAAGCACCGGCUAACUACGUG